rnacentral:rRNA from 1 species
UACGUAGGGUGCAAGCGUUAAUCGGAAUUACUGGGCGUAAAGCGUGCGCAGGCGGUUUUGUAAGUCUGUCGUGAAAGCCCCGGGCUCAACCUGGGAAUGGCGAUGGAUACUGGGCAGCUAGAGUGUGUCAGAGGAUGGUGGAAUUCCCGGUGUAGCGGUGAAAUGCGUAGAGAUCGGGAGGAACAUCAGUGGCGAAGGCAGAUCUCUGGGCCGUAACUGACGCUGAGGAGCGAAAGCGUGGGGAGCGAACAGG